CUUACCCCAGAGCCAUCACUCCUUCCCUUGCCUGUGCUACAGGUCACACCAUGGGCACCAGCAGCGGGUAAGAGUGAGGGUGGUAGGGAGACCCCAAAGGGGACCUUGUUUGCCAGGCCAGCUGAGAGAUCCCCAGAGAGUCCCCGGAACGCCACCGCUCUGCACCAGCAUGCACCGCGUGGUAACUAUGGGGUAGAUACCACCAAUUACCCCAGGUUAGAGCUGGGGAAUCUGAGACAGAGAGAAGCCGAACAACUGGUCUGAGGCCACACAGCUGGAAACUGGCAGGACCAGGAUUUGAGCCCAUUGCCUGGGCCCACGUGACUCUGCAAACCUGGGCUGGCUGCUUGUAAUCAGCCCAUUCGCCCCACCUGCAGCUUCCUCUGCCUACGGCUGCACCCUCAGGCACAGCUAGGUCAUCUUUGCAAAUCAGGAGGCGUGCAGGAGGCAGAGGGCCACAGGUGGAAGCCCCCUGCCUGCUUUCCCUGCUCAGGCCCAGCCCCCACCUGAGCUCAGAUGCCCUUCCAUAGUGUCAUGUAGUCACCUUGCUGCCACAAUGUGUGGGGCCAGGUCUGUGGCCAGCCGCCUCCGGCCCCACUUGGAGACCCCUUGUCAGCCCUGAGGCACCAAGUCCAGAGUUAGCCAGCCACCCAGUCAGCUGCCUGAGCCCUUCCUGCAGCUUGGACCUGUCGGGGGCUGAAGCGUAGGAGCAGACCUUGCCCCAAGCUACCCCGCCAUGUCGUUCUCCCUGAGUCCAGCCCUAUCUGCCACCAUCAAAACACAGCCUGGCUUGCUCACUUCUAACAGGAAUUACUUAUACAAGCUCAGCACAGGGCUGGGCAGGCAGCACUCAGCAGGUAUAUGAAGGCAGAUGGUGGCUCUGUUUCUCAAAGAAGUAACGUCGGGGAGCUUCAAAGGAGGAAAGAAACCCAGCCCUUUCAACCUCCAGGGAAGAUCUACUGAGUGUCAGACACACUUCUCCCUAUGGACCCAUACGUGGGCUUGGGACAAUGGUAUGGUGAGUCUCCGGGGCCCUCUGCCUGCAGACCACCAUGGCCUUGCUGUGGGAGGGCCGGUCUGCUGUCUGGGUCCUGGUGGAAUGUUGCUGGGUCCGUAGUCCCGAAGAGAGGGAGACAAUGUCCUGGACAGAGUGCUGUGGUUGGAAAUUGACCACCAGUCUUUAGGCCUGGUUUUGUCAUUUUUAGGUUGAGAUCCCUUAAGCAGGUUGCUUAGAAUUUCAGAACGUUAGGUCUGUCAUCUAUGAAAUGGCGAAACACCUACUCUGUUGUUAUGAGGUUCAAAUGACAUCACAUAUGGGAAAAAGACUUUGUAAAUCAAAACGUGUUCUGCAAAUAAUUAACCAGUUCAAAUGGUAAGUAAUGGAGCUGGUGGAACUUGGAACUCCUUUCUUCUGGGCCCUCCUAAUAGGUGAAUGUGCACAGCAGAGUGUGGAGGACAUUGGCCUCCUCCUUAAGCCCUGGUCUCUGGCUCCUUAGGGCUCCCCAGGUGGUGCUCGCGGCCCCCUAUCCUGCACGACCCUCCUUUAUUCAAUCUCACAUUAACCCAGUGAAGUAGAAUACAUAAAGAAAUGGAGGCAUGGAGGGGUGAAAUUACUUGGAAGCUUCUACUUUCUUCUUACUCCAGCUCAGGGUGUCCCAGGUCGGGAUGCCACUGUCAAGUUCCUCCACUGGAGGUACAGCCUCCAGACCCUAGUCCCCAGAUGUCCCAAGAGAACUCCUAACCAUGAGAGAUCUGUUCAGGCCAGCCUUCGGAGGAAGGAUGGCUACUGACUCGUCCAGCUGUUUUCUGGAUGCAGGAAACUUGGGUCCCCCUGCCCAAGUCUCCAGGAGAGGCCCCUGCGCUCAAGGGCUUUGGGCCUGGCUUUGGAGACCUGGGAAUAUGAAAUGAAUUUCCUGAGGCCAGGUUCUGGGUGGGGUCUUGAAGCUUUCUAGGUGUCUCCUCUCUCCUCUCCUCUCCUCUCUCCGCUGUCCCCUCAGAGGUGCUCCUGCAUAGCCUCUCUGCAUCAUGGCUGCCAUUACUCCUUGCCCAGCCUUUAAUUUAGACAAUUCUAAUCCCCAAUUAGAGUGGAUUUUAUUGAAAGAGGCAAGGAAGAGUUGGGAGUCAGGGUACUCCACCUAAUGAUAGUGGAGGAGUCAGGAUCUCAUUUAUCCAGCCCCUCAUUGAACAUACGAGGCCUGGGAGUGGAGGUUCCUCGGACUGGUCAGUGCUGGGUUGGGUUCACUGAAUGGGAAUCUCCUGUCUAAGUGAGGGCUCUUGCUACCUCUCCUCAGUUCUGUGCCUUUGAGCUUGUGGCCUGUGACUCCAUCUUGGCCCUGUGGUCAGCCCGGUGACUAGGCAGAGAUGGCUGCCACAUUCACCUCCUGGUGUCACAGGAGCCUCCACAAAUAGCAGCCUGUUGCCCCCGGCCUAACCCUGGUGCAGUUUAUCCUGUUAGCAGAGCGCCUGUGAGAUGUGCUUCCCAGGUGGGGGGAACUGGGCAGCUCGUCCUUCCUCAUGCUACAUGGUGUCCAAGGGUGGCUGACGGCAGGGAAGGGGGCAGGAUGGAAGUGAGGUCUGGAUUUCCUGUGGGGUGGGGCCAGGUAAUGUGUUUUACUUGAGACAUGUUCCCCCCCCAGCGGGUAGCGGCAUGGGCUAGCAGAGGUUUGCCCAGGCACAGGCAGGUGCAGGGCUGUACCUGUGGCCUCUUCUCUGUCUGCCCCAGACUCUCUGCUUGGGCUCCCCAGCUAUAAAGCAGGAGCAAGUCCCAUCCCUUACCUGCCUGGGGGGACACUGAGCAGGGGUGAGAUAAUGUCUGCUGCUGAUCACCCUUCACUGAGGUAGGCAGUCUCUAGACAGAGUCUAUUUUUACUACCUGGAGCUCAGCCUGGCUCCCUCUUAGGCCCCUGGCUGUUCCUGGCCCCCACAGAGACACAGGAGCCAGGCCCUCCUGCAGGCCCUGCAGGCCCAGGUGCUGGGUGCAGGGAGGGAGGAUCUCCAGGGCCAGCUCUGAGCUCUGUGGAGCCUGAGGUCCUGGGCCCAGGUUGACUCCUGCAUGGCCCAUUGUUCAGGGUUCAGGGAGCCACCAGCCGCUCCUGGCAUUCUGGUUCCACCAGGAGCAGGGCAGCUGGGUGUGGCUAAUGAGCAGGGUGUGCCUGGAGGAGUUAGCAGCCGGGUGACAGCUGUGGGCAGGUCCCCACCCAAGCAGGUGGGUGGGUGGCUUGCAUAACAGUCACCUGUGCACUAGGGUGCAUUCUCUCCCUGUGUUUAUUUUUAAAAAACAAAUGCUCACCUUUGGCGGCAGUGGUGGAGCUACUUCUAAACAUGCAAAAGACAUUGUGUUAAUACCUGUGAGCCUCCACAGCUAUUGUAUUAGGGAAGCUUGUGCAAAUCUGAACUUUUCACCACUUACAAGGAGGGCAGAGUGCCAAAAACAUAACUGGCUCCUGGUCUCGCUGGCUCACCCCUUCCCGGCUAUUUUCCAAAGGAAGGCUCUUCUGUAGUGCCUCGGGGGUCAAGGAUGUGGACAGGUGGGCCUCCCUCCCUCUGCAGUGGCCCUCAGGAGCUGUGCAGGCUCAGGUGACUGCUCUCAGAACCUGGGCUCCUCUCCCAGCUUGCUGGUGGGAGCCAUGUUCUGGGCCUGCUUGGUUUCCAUGCCCAGGGCUGCUUGGACCACAUCAGUCCUCUAAGAACAACCAAGUGAUCCCUGCAUCCCGAUCAUGGACCCCUGCAUAUCCUUGAGAGAAGCAGGUCUCCCAUCUCGCAGCAGCAGCUUGGUGUUGUUGGGACUGUGGAGGGGGCUGUCAUUCCCAUGUGUGCCCCAGAACCCUGCUUUGCAGGCCCUGCUGGCAACUGGGGGAGUUCAGAUAGAGAGACACUGGCUUUUGGUCACCAGAGGCCUCGAUGGCAAAGCUGUGGAGUAGAUGAGGGUGGGCAGGUCUGAAAGAAAAACUGAGACUGUCAGCAUGUGUGGCUGCAUCUCCCAGCACGGCUGCUUAGGUCUAACAGCAUCCAGUGAGGAUCUGGAAGCACCAGACUGAGGUGGGCUGGGAGCUGGAAUAGAGGAGGUAGAAUGUCUCCUGCUAUCACACCCACCGAGGCCAUGGCAGGGCAUCUGCUAACGCUCAUCUGGUCCUUUCCUCCGAGGAUUUGGGAAGAACGAGCCAACCCUGGGAAGCCUCAUUUCCGGCCUUGCUCUAGGUCCUGCCUGACAUCACUGAUGCAGGCUCCACAGGGCAGCAGGUGGUCACCGCCUUUCUGAAAAAGCCCACAGAACAGCCAGAAACUUCUUCACUUCCCCUUCCAACUGUCACUCCCUGCGUCCAGACAUAACGGCCCCUUCAGGUUCCUGCACGAGCUAAGCUGUAUCUUCCAUCUGUCAUACUCUGUGAUACACUGUGAGGCUCUUUGCAUCCCUAGUUUUAAAUUUUUUAUUUCAGAAAAAUUAAAAUCUCCCCUUCUGGAGAGCAUUCUUCUGCCAUGGCCUUAAAAUCUGACUCAGCGGUGGAGCUGUUGGUAGGAGCCCCAGUUUAUACUGUUAGGGCAGGGGACAGGCAUGAUCGGGGGCUCUGAGCAGAAAAUUGAAACAUCUUUUCAAUCUUGCCUGUGAGCUGAUUAUAUACUGUGAUGGAGUAAAGAGAGAGCAGGGCCUGUGUCUCAGCACUGUGAGACUUUGGGCAGUUCCAUCCCCCACUCUGAGCCUCUAUUCCCCUUCCAAGAAAUGGGAAUGAUGAUGGCUUCCCCAAGUAUCACAAGGACAACAAGGCGCAGCCCUCAGGAAGGCUCUGAGUACGGACCUGCCCUAUAAGUGGCAUUUCAUCAGCCUCGGGUCUCCUCCUCUCUCAACAGUCCAUGCCAAAGACCAGGAGCCAUCAGUACCAGCCCAGCGCUGCCCUUGGCUUGGGCACUGUGGAACCAGGAGGAGAUGGGAGGCCUGGUGGGCAGGGUGGAGGGGACUGUGAAGACUGGUGUUCACGACCACCCAGGAUGGUGGCUGUCCUGCUUGUCGCUUAAUCGGCCCGAGUCCAUUAAUUCACAGCUUGCUGCUUCCCAAGGAUACAGCCCCUUCCUCUGCCUUCCUUCCGCCCGGGCCCAACGUCUGCCACCCCCAUCCGAGUGUCCACAUCACUCCUCUGUCACGUGACGAGCUUCAGUCAGCCCUCCUGCCAGGGACCGCUGUCCCUCAGUCCCCCGUCCCCAACCUUGCCCUGUUCUCGGUUCCUGGACUGGCAGGGCCUCAGCCAUGCUGUGGACCUCAGCACAGAUGGCUCUGAGCCAGUCCCUCCCCCAGAUGGUGGCCGGGCUGCGAUGGACGUUAGAGACAGAGUCCGGGCCGGUGGGUGAGGCAUUUGGAGGCUGGGGCUAGGGGCUGGGAGCGGGUCCAUCAUGCUCCCUGACUGCCUCCUUCCCUCUGGCCCGGCCCAGCACAGCACACAGCUGACAACACAAAGAGGCUCUGGGGAACCUGGGUUCAGAAAAUGGAUUAAGGGGUGAGAUCUCCGCCUUCAUGCUGACUUCUCCAGCCUUCCCAACACCACCUUCCAUGUCCACGUUUGCUAAGUGACCACUGUGACACUGGGCCAGGUGCUGCGGAGGGAGCAGGUGCAGGCUGAGUGCAGGGGGACUGGCAAGUCCAACCUCUGGAAGAUUCAAGAGCCAUGCAGUGUCCCAGGCCCUUCUUCCCAUUCCACUCUCCCCUGCAAAGCAAGCAAGAUAUUGGCAUAGUGGCCAGACAUAGAAGGACUCGUCCUCUGCCCGGGUCGGAGGGGAGCUUGGGCCAGACCCAGCCGCCCUGUCAGGGAGACUCCUAAGACAAAUAAGCCUAAGCCACCUCAGAGCGUGGGUUCGCUACAGGCCGUUCCUUCACUGAGAGGGUCCGCAGGGCCUAGCAGCGUGGUGCAGGGUAGGAGUGGGGAAGGGCAAGACUGGAAAAGACUCACUAUGGAGACACUAGAAACCAGGAUGUUUGGGACAGAAUCCAUCACACUGAAGUUCGGAGCUUUUUUCUCCCAAUAAAUAGCACAAGUCAUGUCGAUAUUUGAUAACUUCUCCUCUCCAAACCCAUGAUGGCGCCACGCAGGAAGUCUUGACCCACGGGAAGGGCCUAAGUGGCAACAGUCAGGGCAGAGCAGGCUGUGGAUGCCCUGCAAGCAGGGCCUUGGGCCUGUUUUAUUUUUCACUUUAUUGUAGGAAAAUAUACUUAACGUUAGAUCUACCUUGCCUGUUUUAUUGUUUAAGAAGCUACAAAUAAGGAAUCAAGUUGUUUGUGUUUUGAAUUAUCAUGAAUAAGAUUUGUUAAGUUUUAAGUGGUAGCAUAUAUUGUUUUUUUUAAAAUUGUGGUAAAAUACCCAUGAAAUGUUCCAUCUUAACCAUCUGUAGCUGCACAAUUAAGUGGCAUUAAGUGUAUUCUCAUUGUUAUGCAACCAACAUCCAGAACUUUCCACCUUGCAAAACUGGAACUCUAGCCAUUCAACAACUUCCCAUUUCCCAUCUCUCCAGCCUGUUUACGGUUUCUGUUUUUUUUUAUCAGUUUACUCUCUAUCCAGUGAGAUGGGCAGACCGUAUGUGUAAAAUUCAACGAGUUUCGACAGCGCGUACCCUGCAUAACCACACUCCCAGCAGGACACAGCAUGUCUCCCCACCAGCUGCUUCCUUUCUUUUCCUGGCAGUUGCCAGCCCUCACGCUGAGGCAGCCAAUGUUCUGAUUUCUAUCACAUAGAUUACUUUGACUGUUCUAGAACUUUCUAUGAGUGGAAUUACACCAGAAGUACUCUUUGGUGCUGGCUUUUUUCUUUCAGUGUAGUGUUGAGAUUCACCCAUGUUGCAUCAAUCAGAUUUUCAUUUUUAUUGCUGAUUAGUAUUCUAGUACUAGAAGAUGCACCAUGUGUUUAUGUACCCACCUGCUGAUAGAUAUCUGAGUUGGUUCCAGUUUUUUACUUUUUAAAAUAAAACGGCUGUGGAACAUUGUUUGAAUUAGAUCUUCAGUAAAAAUAUGUUUUCAUUGCUCUUGGGUAAAUACUUGGGCAUAGAAUUAGAGAAGAAUAUGUUUAACUUUAUAAGAAACUGCCAGGCAAUUUUCAAAAAUGGAUGUACCAUUUUACAUCCUCACCAACAGUGUGUGAGUUAUAGUUGUUCCAUGUCCUCACCAACAUUUGUGAUUGUUGGUCUUCAAAUUUAGCCAUCCUAGUGGGUGUGACCCACCCUAGUGGGUUAUUGUGCCAAGGUUUUAAUUUGCAUCUCCUGACUAACACAAUGAUGUUGAGCAAUUUUCACUUGUUUAUUAGCCACCGGUAAUCUUUUGUGACAUGCCUGUUCAAGUCUGCGGCUUGCUUGUAUUUGUUGAGCUACUUCUUUGCCCUUAUUUUCAUUAUUGAUUUGCUGGUACUUAUACAUUCCGGGUAGGAGAAUUUUGUCGGACACAUGUUUCGUGAGUUAUUUUUUCAGACUGACUUGCCUAAUUUCUUCUUAGCUCUUUUGAUGUAAGAAAAUGUGGAUGAA